UACGUAGGGUGCGAGCGUUGUCCGGAAUUAUUGGGCGUAAAGAGCUCGUAGGCGGUGUGUCACGUCGGCCGUGAAAACCUGCAGCUUAACUGUGGGCGUGCGGUCGAUACGGGCAUCACUGGAGUUCGGCAGGGGAGACUGGAAUUCCUGGUGUAGCGGUGAAAUGCGCAGAUAUCAGGAGGAACACCGGUGGCGAAGGCGGGUCUCUGGGCCGCAACUGACGCUGAGGAGCGAAAGUGUGGGGAGCGAACAGG
rnacentral:rRNA from 1 species